rnacentral:rRNA from 1 species
GUGGGGAAUAUUGCACAAUGGGGGAAACCCUGAUGCAGCGACGCCGCGUGGAGGAUGACGGCCUUCGGGUUGUAAACUCCUUUUGUCAGGGACAAUGGUGAUGGUACCUGACGAAUAAGCCACGGCUAACUCUGUGCCAGCAGCCGCGGUAAGACAGAGGUGGCGAGCGUUGUUCGGAAUUACUGGGCUUAAAGGGCGCGUAGGCGGUGGUGUAAGUCUGGGGUGGAAUGCUACAGCUCAACUGUAGAGCUGCCUUGGAAACUGCAUUACUUGAGUCGGUGAGGGGAAGGCGGAAUUCCUGGUGUAGCGGUGAAAUGCGUAGAUAUCAGGAGGAAGGUCUGUGGCGAAGGCGGCUUACUGGACCGUAACUGACGUUGAGGCUCGAAAGCGUGGGGAGCAAACAGGAUUAGAUACCCGAGUAGUCC